UCGCGACGGAACUAACCUUCGGACGAAACUAACCUUGAAAAUACUCCCCUGUUUUGAUUUUACUUAGAAGGAGUUAGUUCAAUAUAGCAGGUUUAAUUAAUUAAGAAAGAAUGGGAUGCGAAGACGACGAAACGCAUAAUAUCCAGUGUAAAAAGAAGAAGAUGAAACCUUUAAGGAAACGCGAAGCUUCUCGGUUUGAGCGAGGGAGAGAAAAUGUUCAAGUAGAAAGUCGAAGAAACAAAGAUUAUUCAGAAAUUCUGUGAGAGACCAGCUGGCGUCGAUAUUGUUGGUUUGGCGCUCGGAGAAAGCGUUGUAUCUGAUGUGUUGUGGUCGGAUCCCUUUAAUAUGAAAACCGGAGGAAAAUAUGAUGAACAUUUAAUCAGCCAUAAGAGAAUGGUUAAUUAUGUAGAAGAAUUGUCGAGGCCCAAGAGUAAAAAUAAUGAUGCAGUGAAUAGUACGAAUAAUGAUAAAGGAUUGUAUUGCUUGCCAGAGGAAACAGCAUUGCACGCAGUACUAGAUGCAAGUUAAGCGAGAAAAUUUAAGGAGUGAUUUGGUCUAGCAGCAAGAAUGUCGGGCGAAUUACUGUGUUAACAAUCAUUUAGUAGCUAGAAAGAAGACCGGUAGCCACAAUAUUACUCAAUAGGUAGCACACAGGAUAUGACAAAGGUAAAUUGUCUUGUUUUUAGCUUUGAAUUUUCACUUUUAUAGAGCUUUUAUUUCUAUGGGAUUUUUUAAUGUGAUUAUUCUCUUAUAUUCCGCCCUACUAAUACAGUGAUGUGCAUAAAGAUUACCUGUCUUUAUUUUUGUUCUCUUUAUGUUGUCUACAUUUUUUGCAGUAUACAGAACACUGAGGCAGCAAAAUUCUGUUUCCAGAUGUAUGAUUCGCAAAAGACUAUCUUUUAGCUCCAAAUUGCUAAAAUGAGAGAUUAAAAAUCUUACAGACUCGAGGGAAGAAAAUAACACCCGACUGAGUUAUUCAAACAUCCAAAGUACAAUAAAUUAUGCAACAAGCGAUAACGAAACGGCAUCUAAACAGCGUUUAACGGACAUGAAGGAAAGGGAGGAAGAGGUAGAGGCAGUUUUUUCCGAAAUUUUUGAUAAUGAAAAUAUUCUGAGCGAAGAUUAAGCACAAAAUCGUCACAUUCUUUUCAAUUAAAACGAUGAAGAACAAGACUAAUAUGGCCUAUAAUACCAAGUAUUCGAUUUUUCUUUCUCCUCUUUCAAGUGAUUCGUGAUAACGAACCACGUAGUAAUUCAUACUUGUCAAAAUCAGCGAUUAAACAAACUAAUAGACUAUCAAGAGAUACUGUCAGAUGAAGAAAGUGACUUCUCACCUUAUGUUAUUUUCUUAUUCGCCUGAUCUAGCUGUAUCAUUAAAAUAAGUAGUAAGAUUAAGUGUAUAUUGUAACGUACGUCAAUUAUGGAAAGGCUGAAUAUAAUUGCAGAAUUUGUUUCACCUUUUAAAUGUUGUCACUUUGCAACCGUAAGUGUUGAGAUUUCUCGUUCCUUGUUAGUAGCAGCAGCUGUCAUCUCGUAAUCAUUAUUCUACAUGCAUGAUGGAAAAGGUGCGAUCACCUACUCAAUACAAAUGUAAUUAAUCGCUUUAUUGCAACUGAUUUCUUCCGUUCUUCGAUACUUUAAUUCUGGAUAAUUGAAAGUUUAAUUAUCAGGAUAUACCACUUCUACAAUUUCAACUGUAUACUUGGUCUUGCAAUACUGACUGAAUGCACAAACUAGAAUAUCCAUCGCUAUCUUUGCCUACAGGUUAUUUAUAAUUUGUAAUAAUUUAUAAUAUAUAAUGUAUAUAUUUUAUAUAUUAAUUAUAGCAUCUUAUUUUUAAAGCACCUAUUUUAUGUAUUUUUUGCAAAUAAAUAUAUAGAUUAAAAUUAAACAAUGUAAAUGCACGUACCUUUGUAAGAUCAGUUAUUAUGCACUUGAUAAAAAUUUUUUUUGUAUUAAGUGUGAUCUUUGAAUGAUCUCCAUUAACGAUAGAAGACAGAGAUAAAAUAACUCCAUUACUAUUAUAAUAGGAUAAAUAGGACUGCCUUUUAUGAUAAGGUAAAUAUUGUUUAAGUUGCACAUGUGUCUGUAAACGUAGUUAGACAUGAAUAUAUAUAAAUCAUUAUCUACAGAAAUUAGAAUUAUUUACAUUAAUUGGUAUCUCAAUGUAUGGCUGUGAAAGCAACAAACUCUUAAAUGAUAAAUUGUGAAUUUGAUUCUGUACACAGAUUUUAAGUUCAUUUGCAUGAGACAGAUCUUUGGUCUUCCAGAGUGAUGAGUUAAAAAGGAGACCGUUUGAUUACAUUGCAAUUAUUUACAGAAUUUACAAACAUAAGGAGAAAGAAACUUACUGCAUAUUACUGCAUAAUUUCUUCUCCUGUAUAUACUUUAUCUUGAUUAAGUGGUUUGAACCAUAUUUUUAAUGGUGGUCUAGAGCAUCAUAUAGAAAUGGACUUUUAAUUGUAUCCAAAUCAUGAGCGCCAAUAGAGACCAGACUACAUUUUCUUCCUAUAUUUUGAUGCAACUUACUCAAUAAAACUAUUGUAAGAGUCUUGCAUCAAAGUAACGUCUCUCAAAAUCGCAGCAAAUGUUUUCUUAUUUUUAAGCACUGAAACAAUGAGAUGAAUUAUAUUUUUUUACGUUAAUCAAAUUAUUCAAUGCUAAUCAAAAUAUAAUUUUUAAAAAAA